AUUUUCUAUUUUGCAAGUUGCAGAUGACUUGUAAGUUGACAUGUCUUGUGCUGUGAACUUGCAGCCUUGUUGAUAACAAUAAUUUAUUUGGGCCUCUUCCACCAGAAUUAGUAGAUACACGUAGUCUUCUUGCUAUCUUGACUUCAGGCUGAUAAUAACAACUUCAGUGGAAGCUCCAUCCUGCUGAAUAC